AAAGAAUUUCAUAUAUGCCAUAUUCCAUGGAUCUCUGAUGAUUUUGAAGAUCAUUCAUCUAGUUAUAGGAUAUCUGAACAAGCAAACAUUGCCUGUCCAUAGCUAUUAUUAAUUAUCUGUCCAUCCCAUGAUAUAUAUUUCAGUGAUGAUAUAGAUUAAUAUCUGAUAUUACCGUGAGUUUGACUGUCUGACUAUUAAUUUGCAUUCUAUAAUUAUUUUUAACAAUUUGUAAUAGUAGUCAUUAAAAGGACUGGGACUAAACCUUGUAUUUUAAAAUAAGUUGCAAAGGCAAAAUACCUAUACAAGAGUUGAAACAUGAAAAUAUGUUGUAAUAGAUUAAUCUUAAUUUUUUAUCAGUAUACAAAGAUUUAGAUCAAUGAGAACCUUAAACCUGUAUCAGUAUACAAGAUUUUACAUCAUUGUAAGAAAAUAUAACUUCCAGCUCUGCCCCAAAAUAUAAAGAUCUCUACCAAUGUAAGAUCAUGGCUGUAACAUGCUUUUGUAUAAGAGUAGAUUCAUAUGUAUAUGUAUAGGUAUAUAUACUAAAAAUUACCAAAAUCAUCUAUCUCAAUUUAAGGGGCUGUGACAAUGGUCUUCUUAUAAUUGGUUUCUGCUGAAUUGGGGUAAAGAAUUUCAGUCUGAAGGCCCAAAAGGAAAUUGGAAAAAUGGUUCAGUUGAAAGAAAGCUAGCAGGCAUCAUUUGUUGUCCAGUCUCAGUGUGUUGAGAAAGUUCACAUCUAAAUUGAAGUCCUGACUAGAAUAAUCUGAAAAGCUGGAUGAACCAAGGUCAUCUGAGAUCCAGUCCUUUCUGAUGUUUUUCUAGAAGCAAGUCUCAGGAAACAGCAUCAGUUUGAGGCAGUAUCAACUAGGGAGCUGGAACAGCAGGUCUCAGCAUCUCUGAGGGUGAGUCUUUUCAUGGCUGCCCUCUUGAUAUUACAUUCUGUAACAUAUAAGCCUUGCAAGCAAUAUUCAUGGUUCUAUAAAGACAUCCAUAUGGAAUGUAAAGGGUACACAGAUCAAUUAAGAAUGAUUUCAUUCUCUUGGUUGAGUAGGUGAAAAGUAAACUGUCUCUGUCUUUAGAAGUUAGUUUUUCAUAUAAACAUAAGUCUCUAUUAAUACCACCUGUAAGGAUGGUACAUACCAAAUCAUGAGAAUUUAUAGCCAGUAAGAUUUACUGACUUUGUAAGCUGAAGUUCUAGUUGUCAGUUCAAGCCUUGUUUCAAGAAGGUUUAUCAUUAUGUAUUGUCAGUCUAUUUUUUUCCAUUUGAGUUUCUGCUGUCAGAAAGAUCUUUGGGGCGGGUCUCCCUCUAUCAAAUCUGAUCCUUAUUACUUUGGAAGGAGUCCAUAUUCUUUUCUUCUCACCCAUUAACAAAAAUAGAGAGCCACUCUUCAAACAUAUCAUGCCUUUGGUCCAGCAAUUUGAAGUCAUUGAGCAUAUAGUCUAGCCCAAUUUAGCAGCACCCUUUUUUAUUUAUGUCUCCUCUAUUUUGACUUUUCUUAUAGAGGAUUUGAAAUGCCAUCAUAACCAAAGAACUUAUAACCACCUUCAUUUUGAUAAGUUUAAACAUUUAUUACUUAUUAAGAAAGGGUUUCUGGGUGUAGCCUGGGCUGACAUGGAUUUGCUCUGUAGAUUAGGCUGGCUACAAGCUCACAAGAAAACUCUUUGUCCUCUUUGUCCUUGCCUUUGUCUCACAAGUACUGAGAUCAAGGCUUGGAUUUCUUUCUUCCUUCCUUCCUUCCUUCCUUCCUUCCUUCCUUCCUUCCUUCCUUCCUUCCUUCCUUCCUUCCUUCCUUCCUUCCUUCCUUCCUUCCUUUCUUUCUUUCUUUCUUUCUUUCUUUCUUUCUUUCUUUCUUUCUUUCUUUCUUUCUUAUCUAUGUGCUCUUGAAAACAUUUAUGUCAAUUUACACCACUUUCUCCCUUCUUUGGAGAUUAGUCUCUUUGAUAAUUUAAAACAAAACAAUUAAAAUAUUAUUUAUUAAGACAGGGUUUUGUUCUGUAGAUAAGAGUGGCCUCAAACUCACAGAAAACCUAUUUUUCCUUUCCCUUAUUUCCUAAGUAUUGAGAUCAAAGUCUUGGAUUUAUUUAUUUAUCUAUGUAGCCUUGAAUGUUUAUACUAUUUCUCAUUUCUUUCUCCCAUCUUUAAAGAGUAAUAUCUCCAUGAAUAAAUAUACCUAUAUCACAUUUCUCUUUGUAUACAUUAAUUUAAUAUCCUUCUCUACAUUCAACUUUAUUCAAAUUCACUUUGAUGUUUUGUAUAAAUAUAUUCUCAAGCCAUCAUUGCCAUCAUGUGUGUGUCAUGUUUUAAGCCAAGCAGUGAAACAUUCUCCCAUGGAAGCCCAUGCUUCUAGUAUUGAUAUCUUAACUCAUGUUAUUUUCCAUAAUUUUUUGAUUGUGGCAAGUAUGCAGCCUUGUUCUCUACUCUCUGACCAGCAGGACUUUGUUCAUUUCAUUGCAUAGCUGGGGUUUUCAGGAUUCAUGUGAUUAUGCUACAUUAUCUUUGUCAUCAUAGAGCCCCACAUAGGCAGAUCUCCCCCCACCCCAAGGUUGAUGUUUGAGCUUGCUGGUUUGUAUCUCAUGGACUUUGCUGUUUAGCCUGUGAUUGAGUUGGGGGUGUAGCUGUAUUUUACCUCAUGCUUUGACCCUUGGAACUAUAUCCUGUAGUCGAGAGCACCAGAACUCCAAUCUUACAGGAACCCUGUGUGGCUUGAGGAAAAACCGACUUUGCUAAGGAAAUGAUUCUCCCCACUUUCCUAGACUUUAAGGAACAGUGCACAUUUCCCCCCCAGAAAUAUUAAAUGAAUUUUGUUAAAAAUUGGUUCUUGCCUAUGUUGGGCACCGAUUUGUUGUAGAAAAUAUUUAAUCUCAAUCAGGGUUUCUACCCUGCCUUUGAUCAUUCAGUUCCCAGACAAAAGGCAUGGAACUUUUAUUUUUAUAGUGAGCUUUAGUCAGAAUUAGAGUGGAAGAUAUCUACCCUCUAUGCGAUUAAAAUUUAUUUUCCCAACAAUAACCCCAAGUUAUAGCUUGGUAUGUUCCAUCUAAACUGCUCUUAACAUCAAUUGGCCAGCCUUCAUGGCCAUGUAUUCAUAACUCACUUACCCCAUGGAGGCUUUCUACUGUCUUCUCUAUGGAGAACCAUGAGGGAGAGAUACAUAGGCAGAGCUUGACAUUCCUAUGUAUCUUCUACCCAACUAUUGGCUGUUGGCAUCUUUAUUUAACUAAGAGUUUUAAAUUAAGAAACAAGGUCACAUGAUAUGCACAAAUUCUCUUGUCUUAUGGGCAACCAGGCCUUGGGUGUGUGUGUGGAAUAUUUAUCAUUACAAUACAUAGCAAAAGGUCAAACCUUAACAUACCCAGAAGUCAGAAACAAACUAGAUGGCAAGUAACAGAUGAAUAAGAAAAUGAGGUACCAUACAAUGGAUUAUUACUCAGCCAUUUAAAAGAUGAAAUUCUUAGGUAAAUGUGUAUAACUAGUAAAGAACAUCCUGAGUGAGGUAACCUAGCAACAGAAAGAGAUAUAUAGUGGGUAUUCAUUUAUAUGGGGAUAUUGGCUGUUAAGUCAAUGAUAUCCAGGCUAACACAAUCCAUUGAACAUAGAGAAUUUGAGCUGUUACUUAAAUAGUGUUCACCUCUAUGUUCCAGUGAGUUUCAUUCAGGAAGACACUAUAUCUGCUACC
rnacentral:lncRNA from 1 species